rnacentral:rRNA from 1 species
CCUACGGGAGGCUGCCGUGAGGAAUAUUGGUCAAUGGGCGAGAGCCUGAACCAGCCAAGUCGCGUGAGGGAGUACUGCCCUAUGGGUUGUAAACCUCUUUUGUCGGGGAGCAAAAGCCGGACGUGUCCGGCUGUGAGAGUACCCGAAGAAAAAGCAUCGGCUAACUCCGUGCCAGCAGCCGCGGUAAUACGGAGGAUGCGAGCGUUAUCCGGAUUUAUUGGGUUUAAAGGGUGCGCAGGCGGAUUUUUAAGUCAGCGGUAAAAUCGUGGGGCUCAACCCCAUCCAGCCGUUGAAACUGGGGAUCUAGAGUGUGCGAGAGGUAUGCGGAAUGCGUGGUGUAGCGGUGAAAUGCAUAGAUAUCACGCAGAACCCCGAUUGCGAAGGCAGCAUACCGGUGCACAACUGACGCUCAGGCACGAAAGCGUGGGUAUCGAACAGGAUUAGAUACCCCUGUAGUC